GACGAACCGUGCGAACGUUGUUCGGAUUCACUGGGCUUAAAGGGCGCGUAGGCGGCUUGCCAAGUCAGGGGUGAAAUCUUUCGGCUUAACCGGAAAAGUGCUUCUGAUACUGGCGGGCUGGAGGGAGGUAGGGGCAGAUGGAACUUCCGGUGGAGCGGUGAAAUGCGUAGAUAUCGGAAGGAACGCCGGUGGCGAAAGCGAUCUGCUGGACCUCUUCUGACGCUGAGGCGCGAAAGCCAGGGGAGCAAACGGG
rnacentral:rRNA from 1 species